UCCUGAGUGAAACUGGUCCGUGAACUGGACCCACAGCCGGUGUGUAUUUUCAUAAUUGUAAGGCUUACAAUAAGUAUUCUGGCAAAAGAAGAUCUAUCAAGAAGAAAGAUGAUCUAGAUCCCAGUGACGCCGUUAACAUCCCAAUGUCAACAUGCACACAAGUAAACUUUCAAGACAUUUUCCUAAGCCAAAGACAAAACAGGUGUCAGGGACAUCCCUGUGUAGGAAGAAGCGUGGCUCGUAGUAGGGAGACGUCUCGCAGUCGGGAUUGAGAAUCGACGAAAUGGGAGGAAAAUACACCAUGCAGAAGAAUGGAUACGAUGAGUAUGCUGUUGUGGCUGAGUUUGAGAAGAAAGAUGAUCUAGAUCCCAGUGACGCCGUUAACACCCCAAUGUCAACAUGCACACAAGUAAACUUUCAAGACAUUUUCCUAAGCCAAAGACAAAACAGGUGUCAGGGACAUCCCUGUGUAGGAAGAAGCGUUCUUCGCCCAGGUCCGAUGAGAAGGUGGCUCGAAGUAGGGAGACGUCUCGCAGUCGGGGUUGAGAAUCGACGAAAUGGGAGGAAAAUACACCAUGCAGAAGAAUGGAUACGAUGAGUAUGCUGUUGUGGCUGAGUUUGAGAAGAAAGAUGAUCUAGAUCCCAGUGACGCCGUUAACACCCCAAUGUCAACAUGCACACAAGUAAACUUUCAAGACAUUUUCCUAAGCCAAAGACAAAACAGGUGUCAGGGACAUCCCUGUGUAGGAAGAAGCGUUCUUCGCCCAGGUUCGAUGAGAAGGUGGCUCGAAGUAGGGAGAUGUCUCGCAGUCGGGGUUGAGAAUCGACGAAAUGGGAGGAAAAUACACCAUGCAGAAGAAUGGAUACGAUGAGUAUGCUGUUGUGGCUGAGUUUGAGAAGAAAGAUGAUCUAGAUCCCAGUGACGCCGUUAACACCCCAAUGUCAACAUGCACACAAGUAAACUUUCAAGACAUUUUCCUAAGCCAAAGACAAAACAGGUGUCAGGGACAUCCCUGUGUAGGAAGAAGCGUGGCUCGAAGUAGGGAGACGUCUCGCAGUCGGGAUUGAGAAUCGACGAAAUGGGAGGAAAAUACACCAUGCAGAAGAAUGGAUACGAUGAGUAUGCUGUUGUGGCUGAGUUUGAGAAGAAAGAUGAUCUAGAUCCCAGUGACGCCGUUAACAUCCCAAUGUCAACAUGCACACAAGUAAACUUUCAAGACAUUUUCCUAAGCCAAAGACAAAACAGGUGUCAGGGACAUCCCUGUGUAGGAAGAAGCGUUCUUCGCCCAGGUCCGAUGAGAAGGUGGCUCGAAGUAGGGAGACGUCUCGCAGUCGGAAUUGAGAAUCGACGAAAUGGGAGGAAAAUACACCAUGCAGAAGAAUGGAUACAAUGAGUAUGCUGUUGUGGCUGAGUUUGAGAAUUUACAAGCUAGAUCCCAGUGUAGCUGUUAACAUCCCAAUGUCAACACGCACACAGGUAAACUUUCAAGACAUUUUCCUAAGCCCAAGACAAAACAGGUGUCAGGGACAUCCCUGUGUAGGAAGAAGCGUUCUUCGCCCAGGUUCGAUGAGAAGGUGGCUCGAAGUAGGGAGACGUCUCGCAGUUGGGAUUGAGAAUCGAUGAAAUGGGAGGAAAAUACACCAUGCAGAAGAAUGGAUACGAUGAGAUUGCUGUUGUGGCUGAGUGUGAGUAGGUUCCUGUAACUAUCAACCGAUAUUUGAGAGAUUACCAAAGGGAGGGAGUGAAGUUCUUGUGCCAGCAUUAUAAGAUGGGCGAGGGUGCUAUAUGGGGAGAUGGCAUGGGAUUGGGAAAAACAGUUCAGGUCCUUGCCUUUCUUUGAACCGUGCUUGGAAAGACUGGUACAGGGAAGACUGCCCAAUACGCUUGCCAGAGUUUUUAAAGAAGAUAGUCAGCACCACAUACUUCUUUUCAAGAGAGUACUCCUUCCAGCCAAUCAAAUGGAGCACUACAAGAAGUCUUGCUUGGCCAAUCAAAGCAAACCUCUUAUAAAAUGAAUGAAACAACAGUUCAGUUUGGUCAGACACCCAGAGGAAUCAGGAGGUAUGAUAUUCAAUCCUGAACUAUUAGUAAUAAAAAAUUGUAUCAAAAAGAGCCUUUGAUAAAUAAGUUUUAUUUAUCAUUUCGAAAAUUGGUGUGACUUCGAAGUAAAGUAGUGACAUUUUGUGAAGUUAUAAACACUUUCAAGUAAUGUGUUUUAAUGUUGUUCAAAUUCGAAAACAAUCUGUAUAUUAUGUCUAUAACACUCAUGUAUGCAACUAUGGUGAAAUUGGCAUUUCAUGCAUUUGUCACUUAUUAUUAUGUCCUGAGUAGCUGAGACAUUAUUUUAUUUAAAAAGCACUGGACACUUUUGGUAAUUGCUCAAAAUAAUUGUUAGCAUAAAAAAAGAUU